GCAUUCCAAGCUAGUCCACACUGAGCAUAUAAACAACACUUCCUCUACAGACCUCCCGCUUCUAAAUUGUAGCUGAAGCAGAAUACAGAAGCUUGGGUUUAGUGACCUCUUUUGAUUCAGUGACAUGAUUUUAAUAAUUAAAAAUCCUAAAGCUGGAGCUCUUUGAAACAGUCUUGGGACUUAAUUGUCUUGACCAUAGGGGUUUUGUAGCAUAUAUUAUCUUUGAAAUCCUCGUACACUGCCGUUUCCCAUUUGCCAUCCUGAGUUCUCUGUUCCACUUCUCGCACUGAGGGGGAAACCGCUGUGCUCUGAAACUGCGCCAGUGUCAUUUCAAAGAGGGAGCAGGGAGGAAUCCCCUUCGCUCCUCAUCUCUCUCCAGAAGUGCUUGCCCUGCCUUCUGCUAUGAAUCAUUCCUGCAGGCACCUGAGCCACGUCAGAUCUCCCUGUUAGAAAGCCCAGCUGUGACUACUAUAUUUUACUGCUAAUGGAAUGAAACCUGGAUAUCAGAGGUGAAGGGACUGGAUCUCUGGCCCAUAACUGUGGCUGUACCAACUGUGUCUUUUGCCUCAUUUUAUACUCAACAAUAAGUGCAGUUACACCACUGACAAGCCUUUUUUCCAAAGGUACCUUUUUGGUGAAGAGAGACAAUGCAAAUAGUGAUCAAGUGGGACCCGAAAAACAGCUGCCAAGAGCAAGACCCCCUGCCCUCCUUCCCACACCGCCAGGCAAACGCCAGUGGUCCCUCCUCCCUGCGUGGUAUACACCCGUCUCCCUUCCCGUGCAUUGGGAUCUACAAACCACAGCUCGAUUCCUAGGAAGACCUUUGCCCCGAGUUGUAUUCGUGGUUUUCGUGUCUGCUGCCGCUGUGCGCAGCCUGGGAGGGGACGAAAGGUUACUCUGCCAGCGGGAGAGGGAUGCUGCCUUUCCAGAAGGGAAGGAUGCCGCCCGCCAGAAGAGCGGUGCUAUCCCGCUACAGGGAGGGACGCUCACAAGGAAGGGAUGCUGAUCAGCGCACAGGGGGAGAUGCUCUCCCAUAGGAGGAAGGAGGCUGCGAGCAGGUGCCGGCGGAGCCGGGCCGGGGCGGGGGGC
rnacentral:lncRNA from 1 species